GGGAAGUGAAACAUCUCAGUACCCACAGGAAGAGAAAACAAUAGUGAUUCCGUUAGUAGUGGCGAGCGAACGCGGAUCAGGCUAAACCAGUGGUGUGUGAUAGCCGGCGGGCGUUGCAUCACUGGGGUUGUGGGACUUUCCGUAUCAGUUCUGCCGGACUGGUGAAAUGUGUGCGUGCGUAUAGGUGAACGGGUUUGAAAGCCCGGCCGGAGAGGGUGUUAGUCCCGUAACCGUAAUGCGUGACGCCGUUUGGAGAGGAUCCCAAGUAGCACGGGGCCCGAGAAAUCCCGUGCGAAUCUGCCAGGACCACCUGGUA
rnacentral:rRNA from 1 species